rnacentral:RNase_P_RNA from 2 species
GGAGUCGGCCAGACAGUCGCGUCACUCGCAAGAGUGCCGAGGAAAGUCCGGGCUCCAUAGGGCAAGGUGCCAGGUAACGCCUGGGCGGCGCAAGCCGACGGACAGUGCAACAGAAAGAUACCGCCUACGUUCCCUUAGGGGAGCCGGUAAGGGUGAAAUGGUGCGGUAAGAGCGCACCGCGAGUCCGGUAACGGACCGGCACGGCAAACCCCACCUGGAGCAAGACCAAAUAGGGAUCCAUUGGCGUGGCCCGCGCUGGAUCCGGGUAGGUUGCUUGAGCGCUGCGGUGACGUAGCGCCUAGACGAAUGACUGUCCACGACAGAACCCGGCUUAUCGGCCGGCUCCGCCG